AAUCUACCUAUGUCUAUAGAAAAAAAUGUUCACAUCAUGCAUGAUCACUGUAUUCAAAGGACACUGGUUAACGUAUGGUUAGAUCAAUCAAACAUAUUGCCAUCCAUGUUAUUGAAAUGACGGAACUAAGCUAGUGUACUGACUCGUCCGUAAUUAUUUCAUGAUGUUUCCGAAAGUUGACUUACAUUUACUAUCUUCUUUGUUACUUUCCCCUCUUUUGUAAUUUCCCCUUAUUUACAU
rnacentral:lncRNA from 1 species